rnacentral:rRNA from 1 species
CUCGUAGUUGGAUAUCUGCUGGAAGCAAUCAGUCCGCCCUUUUCAUAAGGGUGUGCACUUGAUGAAUUCUGGCAUGAUUUCAUCCUGAUAAUGAUAAUAAUAUGUUGUUAUGAUAUUAGGUUGAUUCCUAGUAUAAUAAUAACAUUAUUAUUGUUAUGGGGAUGACAGUUACUUUGAGAAAAUUAGAGUGUUUGAAGCAGGCUUUUGUUGCCUUGAAUACUGCAGCAUGGAAUAACAAUAUAGGAUUUCGGUUCUAUUGUUAUGUUGGUUUUUUCUGUAGGACUGAAAUAAUGAUUAAUAGGGACAG